UACGGGGGGGGCAAGCGUUGCUCGGAAUUACUGGGCGUAAAGGGCUCGUAGGUGGCCAACUAAGUCAGACGUGAAAUCCCUCGGCUUAACCGGGGAACUGCGUCUGAUACUGGAUGGCUUGAGUUUGGGAGAGGGACGCGGAAUUCCAGGUGUAGCGGUGAAAUGCGUAGAUAUCGGGAGGAACAUCGAUGGCGAAGGCAAUCACCUGGGCCUGAACUGACACUGUGACACGAAAGCGUGGGUAGCAAACAGG
rnacentral:rRNA from 1 species